rnacentral:rRNA from 1 species
CUUGGUGGUUUGAGCGGGGCGGACCCACCCGUACCCAUCCCGAACACGGAAGUGAAACGCUCCAGCGCCGACGAUACUGGCAGGGCAACUUGCUGGGAAAAUAGGUCACCGCCAGGC